GUGGGGACAGGACAUUUUCAUGCUCAUUAUCCCAAUCGUGGUUUCUGUUCCCUGUCCUCAGUUUGUUUUGUCUUCCUUCCCCCCCCCCCGGCUGGCUGCUGGCUUGCUGCUUAGCUUGCUUGCUGCUUUGGCUUGCUGCUGGCUGCAUGCUUUGCUGGCUCUGCUUUCCUCUCUUUUUUCUCUGCUUUUCGCUGGCUUGCUUUUUUGCCAUUUUUUUUUCCCUUUUUCCCGGUUUCCGUUUUUCCCUUUCCCCCCCCCCCCCCCGAAGACAUCGGACCUACUCCGGGCAGGAGCUCCCCCGGGGUCUGCAAAAGAAGCUGCGUACCCUCUGCGGCGAAGAGAGAUACAGCUCAACCCUCUUAGACUGGUGAAAACAUCUGUGGUCAUCUUGGGCUAUUUCUCUUGUGCUGGGGAGUGUUUUUUUUGUUGUGCCUUAAUAAACAAGUUUUUUCCACUUUCCCCUCUGAAGGAAUUCCUCCCGAACCCGGUGGUGGGGGGAGGUUGCGGAGGGUUUGGUUUCCUAUAGGGGGCUCCUUUGGAGGUGUUUUCCCCUAAUUUGUCCAAAACCAGGACAAAUAAUUUGGUGGCCCGUACGGGGAGGCCCAGACAAAGUGGAAAAAACUUUAUUCUAAUAAUAUUUUUGGCUUUAACCGUUCUGCGGGAAUAUUGGUAUGUCUCUUUUUAAAGUUAUGAUGUCAUUUGGAGUGAAAGCCUGCCUCUAUAUGUGGUCAUUAGGGUUCUUCGAAGUUUUGAUCGCUUUAUGGUCCCUGGAGUUAUUUUCUUAUCCAGAAGUAGCUCCGACAUCGGACCUACUCCGGGCAGGAGCUCCCCCGGGGUCUGCAAAAGAAGCUGCGUACCCUCUGCGGCGAAGAGAGAUACAGCUCAACCCUCUUAGACUGGUGAAAACAUCUGUGGUCAUCUUGGGCUAUUUCUCUUGUGCUGGGGAGUGUUUUUUUUGUUGUGCCUUAAUAAACAAGUUUUUUCCACUUU